rnacentral:rRNA from 1 species
UAGUCCACGCCCUAAACGAUGUUCACUCGAUGUGUGAUUUUAUAUUGCGCAUCCAAGGGAAACCGUUAAGUGAACCACCUGGGGAGUACGUUCGCAAGAAUGAAACUCAAAGGAAUUGACGGGGGUCCGCGACAAGCGGUGGAGCAUGUGGUUUAAUUCGAUGAUACGCGAGGAACCUUACCUAGGCUCUAAUGUGAGCGCAAUUUUGUGAAAGCAGAAGUUCCUUCGGGACGCGAAACAAGGUGCUGCAUGGUUGUCGUCAGCUCGUGCCGUGAGGUGUUGGCUUAAGUGCCGCAACGAGCGCAACCCCUAUUGUUAGUUGCCAUCAUUAAGUUGGGGACUCUAGCAAGACUGCCGGCGUAAGCCGCGAGGAAGGUGGGGACGACGGUCAAAUCAUCAUGGCCUUUAUGCCUAGGGCGACACACGUGCUACAAUGGUGCAUACAGAGGGUAGCGACCCUGCGAAGGUGAGCCAAUCUCAGAAAGUGCAUCUCAGUUCGG